rnacentral:lncRNA from 1 species
AGACUCACCUGAUGGUCUCUGGGAGCAUCUUGAUGAGAGGAGGGACCUCUCCAGAGUCUGAGACGUUGGUAGGGGCCAUUUUUCUGACCUGGUCCAGGCCUGCUGACACCGACCCUAGUAGGUGCCAUUGAGAUUCAUCCCUUGGCCUGUUAGCCCAGGGGUCUGCCACACCCACUAGACCACAGAUUUAAUCCAGUUCAGUCAAGGCAAGCAGCCCACCCAUGGACUGGCCCCACCCAACAGCAAGCCCUCUGGCUACUUUUCAGCCUGCAUUGACUGGAUGCCUUGAUCCUCUACAGGCAGAUAAAAGAAGCUCAGAGGGGCCAGCCCGGUGGUGCAGUGGUUAAGUGUCCAUGUUCUGCUUCGGAGGCCCGGGGUUCACCAAUUCAGAUCCCAGGUGCGGACAUGGCACCAUUUGGCAUGCCAUGCUGUGUCUGCACCUAUGGCCUCAGGAGGAGCUCCUUAUGCUCAAUUGACGGAAGAAGAAAAGACUCAAGCCUGGUUUACAGAAACUACUGCAGGAUGAGUUCUGCAGGAUGUGCAGGCCCCGCUGGAAAGUAGACGGCUGCCUCACUACAGGACUCAGACUAGGACUAGAACGCACACCAUCAGCUGUUCUGAUUCUUAGGCCUUUGAACUCAGACUGCAGCCACCCCAUCGACUCUCCUGUGUCUCCAGAUUGCCGACUGCAGAUCUUGUGACUUCCCAGCCUCUAUAAUUAAGCAAGGCAAUAUCCUGUAUUAUAUAUAGGAUAUAUGCAUAUAAUAUAUCCUAUUGGUUCUGUUUCUCUGGUGAACCUUGACUGAUAUACUCAUCAUACCAAGAAUACACUAACUAUUCCAGAACCAACUCCAUCACUCACUCAAAACCAACUUCUUCACAUGGCAUUUAAUUCUAUAUAUAUAUCUCAGAAAUUUCUAUGAAUAUGUUUUUUCACACAUGUGUAUACUAUAUGUGUGUAUGUAGAUUAUGUAUAUACAAUAUGUAACUAUAUAUCUAUAUAUGUAUAUAUGUACAUGUAAAUAUAUAUGAACACUUAUAUGAGAAUUUUUGUGCAAUAGCUCAUAAAAACAUGGGGGACAGAGAAACAGAGAGACAGAAACAGAAGAAAGAGACAGAGACAGAGAGCUGGAGACAGAGUAAAAGACAUAGCAACAGAUCGAUAAUUCAUUUUCUUGGGGUUUUAUAUAAAAAUGUAGUAUUUUUGUUCAGCACAUUUUUAUUGUUUGAAUAACUGUUUAACCUAAUACUAUUUUGGUUUCAUAUUUGUUUUUACGUUUUUACUUGUGUCUUUUGUUACUGGAACAAAUAAAAUGUAUUUAGUAAGAGAAA